rnacentral:rRNA from 1 species
GCAUAUCAAUAAGCGGAGGAAAAGAAAAUAACAAUGAUUCCCUUAGUAACGGCGAGUGAAGGGGGAUAAGCUCAAAUUUUAAAUCUGCUAGGUUUUACCUAUCAGAGUUGUAAUUUGAAGAAGCGUUUUCCGCGUCUCGGUUGACCCAAAUCCUUUGGGAUAUGGUAUCAUGGAGGGUGAGAAUCCCGUUCGGUUGACCUUGUGACGCUUUACGAUACGUUUUCUAAGAGUCGAGUUGUUUGGGAUUGCAGCUCAAAAUGGGAGGUAAAUUUCUCCUAAGGCUAAAUAUUGGCGAGAGACCGGUAGCGAACAAGUACCGUGAGGGAAAGAUGAAAAGAACUUUGAAAAGAGAGUAAAAUAGUACGUGAAAUUGUUGAAAGGGAAACGAUUGAAGUCAGUCGUACCGACGGAAAAUCAGCUCUUUAGUGCGGACUUGUGGGCUUACGUGAGUUUUAACACCUCGCUGUUUGCAACGUUCGUGCUUUUUGGGUGUACUUUUUCGUAUGGUAGGCCAAUGUCAGUUUCGAUCGCUAUAAAAUGACCGGCGGAAUGUAGCUUCGAUCUUGUAUUGAAGUGUUAUAGCCUCUGGUAGAUGUGGUGAUCGGGACUGAGGAUUGCAACGAAUACCUUUUGGGCUAUCCGUCUGAUCUCUGAAAGUCGCUUGGGUACCGAAAGCUUGCUUACGGGUCAUUCAAGUUGGCGGUCAAAAGGUUAGAACGUGAUUAAAUUCGUUAAGGAUGUUGACGUA